rnacentral:rRNA from 1 species
CCUACGGGUGGCAGCAGUGAGGAAUAUUGGUCAAUGGACGAGAGUCUGAACCAGCCAAGUAGCGUGAAGGAUGACUGCCCUAUGGGUUGUAAACUUCUUUUAUAUGGGAAUAAAAUGUUCCACGUGUGGGAUUUUGUAUGUACCAUAUGAAUAAGGAUCGGCUAACUCCGUGCCAGCAGCCGCGGUAAUACAGAGGAUCCGAGCGUUAUCCGGAUUUAUUGGGUUUAAAGGGAGCGUAGGUGGAUUGUUAAGUCAGUUGUGAAAGUUUGCGGCUCAACCGUAAAAUUGCAGUUGAAACUGGCAGUCUUGAGUACAGUAGAGGUGGGCGGAAUUCGUGGUGUAGCGGUGAAAUGCUUAGAUAUCACGAAGAACUCCGAUUGCGAAGGCAGUUCACUGGACUGCAACUGACACUGAGGCUCGAAAGUGUGGGUAUCAAACAGGAUUAGAUACCCUAGUAGUC